rnacentral:misc_RNA from 1 species
GAUGAAGAACGCAGUGAAAUGCGAUAAGUAAUGCGAAUUGCAGAAUUUCCGUGAGUCAUCGAAUCUUUGAACGCACAUUGCGCCCUCUGGUAUUCCGGAGGGCAUGCCUGUUCGAGCGUCAUUAUCACCCCUCAAGCCCGGCUUGUUGUUGGAUGCAGCGCUUAUCCCGCUCCUCCCAAAGAUAAUGACGGCGUCUGCGACGACUCCUGUACACUGAGCUUUCGGGCACGUACACGGCUAGAAGUCCAGACCCGGUCGCCGUCCCCCCCGCGGGGACACCCAUUACCACAAGGUUGACCUCGGAUCAGGUAGGAAUACCCGCUGAACUUAAGCAUAUCAAUAAGCGGAGGA